rnacentral:rRNA from 1 species
GAUGAACGCUGGCGGCGUGCCUAAUACAUGCCAGUCGAGCGAACAGACGAGGAGCUUGCUCCUCUGACGUUAGCGGCGGACGGGUGAGUAACACGUGGAUAACCUACCUAUAAGACUGGGAUAACUUCGGGAAACCGGAGCUAAUACCGGAUAAUAUAUUGAACCGCAUGGUUCAAUAGUGAAAGACGGUUUUGCUGUCACUUAUAGAUGGAUCCGCGCCGCAUUAGCUAGUUGGUAAGGUAACGGCUUACCAAGGCAACGAUGCGUAGCCGACCUGAGAGGGUGAUCGGCCACACUGGAACUGAGACACGGUCCAGACUCCUACGGGAGGCAGCAGUAGGGAAUCUUCCGCAAUGGGCGAAAGCCUGACGGAGCAACGCCGCGUGAGUGAUGAAGGUCUUCGGAUCGUAAAACUCUGUUAUUAGGGAAGAACAAAUGUGUAAGUAACUAUGCACGUCUUGACGGUACCUAAUCAGAAAGCCACGGCUAGCUACG